AGGUUGAAUAAAUGAAUGUCACCUCCACCACCACCACCACCAUCCCAAGUGUCAGAAAAUAGGACUAAAGAGAGGCCAAGUACACAGAGUGUUCCUCCACAUAACUGCCAUAGGGAAUAUCUUGUACCAAGGAAGAUCCAUGUGAGUAGAAUUGCCCAAGGUACUGUCCAACAGUCCAGUAAUGUUACACUAGUAACUGAAGUAUACUGAUAUGCUUUGAUAACUGCAUACAAAGCCAGAGGCAGCAUAAUGCUAAAUCAAAAUUAAUUAAAAUCCACAUAUAUUCUAGUUUUUUUUACUGAUGGAUAGAAUAACACUACUUACCCAAAUAACAACCCUGAGCAUCAGCAAAGCCUAGUAACAAAUACCAAUACCAAGAAACCUGUACAGUAAGGACACAUGCAAUGCUUGAUAUAAAAAAACUCCAAUAAUGUAAAUUAAUUUGCAGAAGAUAUUGAAUAAGAAAUAAAAUGAAGAUACGUAUGUAUAUGCAUAUACAUACCAGAGGUUUUUGAUGCCUAUAAAGCAAUAUGCUUCCAUAAACCAAAGCUAAAGAUCCAUAUGUAAACAGGCUCUGAGUUAAAGGUGCAUCAACACCUAUAUAUAUAUAUAUAUAUAUAUAUAUAUAUCAAUAAUCAAUUCAUGUGGCCGUUUAAAAUCCAGGAGAAAAAUAAGAAAGUAAGAAUACCAACCAAAUUGGGCUAUGAGAGAAGAAGUAAUGCUCAUGAGAGCAAGUAAGAAAGAAACUAGUUGACCAAGAAGUAGUAUGCCAAGGAUUUGUAAAGUUGCAGUUCUGCUCCACCAAGUACUAAUGGUAGUCCAAUCCAUUAUUGAAAUAUGUCCAAUAUGUUAUUUCUUUGUUAAUCAAUUUUAUUUUAUUAUAAUAACAAUGGCUUUGACAAAUCAAUGAUGAUGGAAUUUGAAGUUUGGAUAUAGCUACCGUUCUUAGUAGUAUUUGAAUUGAACGGUGGGAGCAGUGUGAAGACAUAACUAAAUCUUUGUUUUGUUUUUUUGUUGGUUAAUAAAUAAAUAGGGUCUUAUUAACGAGUGUCACGGGCACUAGAUUCUAAAUUUAGAAAAUAUUCUUUUAAAAAGUUAAAUGUUACAAAAAAUUUAAUGUAUUGAUUACACAAUUUUUCAUAAAAACUUAUCAUUAAUGGUUCUUAAAAAAUGUCAUUGGAGCACUCGUUAGCAUUUCCUAAAUAAAUAUUCCUUACAUUGUGCAUAAUUUGUUUAGGUACAUCAUUGUGCUUAAUUAGACAUUUUGAGAAAAGAAAAAUUAAUACAUAUUUCCUCCGUCUCAAAUUAUAUGUUGUUUUGGAAGAAAAAAAAAUUGCCCCAAAUUACAUGUCGUUUUAUAAUAUCAAUGAAAUAUUAAUUUAUUUUUCUUAUUAUAUCUUUAACUAUUUAUUACUUCUUCUUCUUUCAAUUCUUUCUUUUAUCUUUCUCGUAUCAUUUAUUAAGGACAAUUUUGUAAAACGACUUAUAAUAUCUGUUUCCUACACAAUAUUAAUUAAAUUUCUUAAUAUGUGUGAAAUGUCCAAAACGACAUACAAUUUGUAACGGAUAAAGUAUUACUUAUGGCCCAAACUAAUAAAUUAUGGGUAAAGAUAAUUAUGGCAAAAUACUCCUUCCGUUUCAAAAUGAGUGUCGCUCUAGCCAAUUGCACACGGAUUAAAGAAUGAAAUGAGAUAAUUAUUAGACAUAACACUUUUACUAAAAUGCCCUUACUUUAUAAGAAAAAGACAAGCUUAAAGUUGCAUUGAAAAUUAUGUGAGACAAAAGUUUGAGUAUUUAUUGAGGGUAAAGUUGGAAGAAAAAAUUAAAGUUGUAUUGAAAACGUAAAAUAACAUUCAUUUUAAAACAAUUUUUUUUAACUAAAGUGACACUUAUUUUGAAACGGAGUACUUUUGGAGCUCCUCAAUAAUAGAAUUCAAUUAGUACUUAGAAAGUGAUCGUUAAUGUGGGGGAUGAUGUUAAGGAUGACAUUAACUGGGUUAUUGAGGAUGAAUGGUCAUGAACUCAUGAUGCUAGGUUUUCGAACGAUUUAUGGACUGGGGGUUGCAGUAGCCUUCAUUCUCACCUACCCGAAAUUAUUAUUCCUCAAGGAAAUUAUUCCAUUCUAAUGGUACUUGGAAUUGGGACAUGAUUGGUAGAUAUUUUCCUUGUGGAAUCUUUAUUCAAAAUGGUAAUGACUAGAAUUCACAAGAUGAAUAAGUGGGAUGUUGGGGUUCGAACUCCGACCCCUAUAUAUAAUAAUGCAUUGUUCUACCAACUUAACUAUACUCACGGGACGUUUUUAAAUUUCUUUAUACUCCUCUCAAAAAAUUUCUUUAUAAUAGAGGAAAUACUUGGAUGAUAUUAGUCUUUAAUGUUAUGCGUGUUUUUAAUUCAUUUUAAAUGAAAGAAAGUGAUGGAUGAUAGUUUAAAUAAAUUAUUUAUAUGAGAGGUUGAAUGGUUAAGAUACAGAUAAGAACAAAGCGCUAUAGUAGUCAUAUAAAAUCCUAUUUUUGAUAAAAAUUUGAACUUACAAUGGUACUCUACUCCCUCCGUAUGGAAACUAACCCAUAAUAGACUUCUCACUUAAUGAUGACUUCUCACUUAAUGCAUAUGUUGAUACGCCGUGAAAAAGUUAAAAAAAUUUGGUCGGAUCUUAUUAGACUUGAUUAUUGGAGGAGCAAGUUCAUUUUUAAAUCAUUGGAGCAAGUUCUUUUAUCUAUGAUCUUGCUCCAUAUGAGUGGUUGAACUAGAACAUUUUCAAUGUUCACAAUCAUAUUUGGUUAAAUUGAAGCUCAUUGGUUCACAAUGUUCUAGGUCAAGCUCAAUCCAUAGACAUUUUUUUUUUUAAAGUAAAUAGCCAAUUACCAUCCGAAAUUGUAAGUUUCGUCAAUUAUCCACUGAAAUUAACAAAACUUCAAUUACCCUCUGAAACUGCACAACGUUUAUCAAUUUACCCCUUCGUCAAAUUCUUCUGUUAGUCAAUAUGACGUUUUGUAAAUACCCCCUAAAAUUUUGCACUUAUAUGCAAAAUGCUCCAUGAAUUUGAAAAUUUAUAUUUUUUUUCUUAUCCUUAGAAGUGACUGCAUUAUCACUGAUUGUGAAACAUAUUAGCUAAAUUUUGACGGUAUACAACCAUAUAUGUUCUCUGAAACGAUCAAACAUUUUAUUUUGAAGAAGCUAAACUAACCCACCUAAAUUGGCACUAGAGAGAAUCAAACCUGAAACGAUCAAACAUUAACCAUGUAUUAGAGCUUAAUCAAAUGAAAUUCAGUAUAGCAAGUACAACCACACAUGUCAGAUAGAAAAAUAAUGCAUGACAUACAUAAUAAAGCACAUAAAUGACAUAUGUUUGGUAUAACCAAAAAUUAUCAAGAUGUCAAAAUAUAUGGUUUUGCUAUUGCUAAUUUCUUCCUUUGACUCUAUUGAGUUGUCUUCUGAAAAAUGAGAAGAUGCAUUGAAGCAAGAAAGAUAGCAUAUUCUCCCCCAGGUAUUGAAGAGAUCCAUUCCUCUUAUACCGUUUUUGUUAAUGAAAAUUUUCUAAAAUAAAUAAAUAAAAGAAGCUAGCCCAACGAAGCCUCUCCAUCCAAUUUCAUUAUUUCAAAUGAUGUUUCCCUCAUGAAGCUAAAGAAUCACUUUGAUCCAAUGUUGUGCUUUCACUUUCACCAUUAAGUAUUUGGUAUUCUGUGUUCAGAUUCUCAUCCUCAGUAGUAGCUGAUGCAGGAACUAAUUUCUUCUCUCUGAUAGAAUACACUCCAAUAGUUAGUAAGUAACAUGAUUUUUUAUUUUUUUAUAACAAUGAAUUAAUUAUAGUUGGAAUUAUAAAGGCACUAUAAUCAAAACUUAGCUUAUAAAGACCAAAUGUAAAAAACAAACAUACGUUGUAGAAUAAAUGAUGAGACCAAUGCCCACAACUAAAAAGGAAACGAAGUACAACCAAUCCACCUGAAAUAUUAACACUUCGUGAUCACAUUGUAAUGAAAAUUAAUAUCAUCAUAUUUAGAUUUUUCAACAACUAUGGCGAUGUCACGUGCAAAUGAAUAUUGGAAAUUAAUACCUUCUGGUGAUAAAUGAAAACUCUAAAAAGCACUGCCCACAUAUCAGAUGUUAGAAGAGAAAGAUUAAACAUUGCUGAUCCGCCGAACUGCAUGAGACAAAAUUCCACUCAAAUUCCAUCACACUAUUUAAAACUAGAUAAAUAGUUUAGUUCCCAAAAAGAAAAUGAAGAAGGUAAAUUAACCCAUCCAAUUUGGCACAAGAGAGAAUUGAAUCUGAGACCUUUAGGAGGAGCACACUCUCAGAUCCCAAGUCAACCAUUAGAACAACCCAAUUAACUAUUUAUGCCCAUUUUAGUGCAUUUUUAGUAUUAAAGUGGAUUUUUCGAAAUCACAUUGACCCACCAUGAUUUUGUUAUUUUGAAGAAGACCACCAUGAUUUUGUAAAAGCUAUAAAUGAAGUUUUUGUAUAGUGACUCUGUGUGAUUUGAGCAAAUCUACCACAAUACUAAAUAUACACUUGGUGAUUAUAAAUGUCAAGUGUAGUUAUAUGAAAGAAAACGUAUCCACCAAGUUUUCAUAGAUGACAUUUUACGGGGAUUAAAAACAAAUUUAGCACUUCUAUCUAUAUAAUUCAGCAAAAAAGAUCACAUGUAACCGAAGCUAAAUAAUUUAAACUUUAUGAAAAGAUUGGAAAACAAAUCAAAACUAACCUUCAGAACAAAAGGAGCAAGUGAGCAAUAUAUGAAGCUUGACACACCAUAGCCAGCAAAAGCAAGCACCUGUUAAGGAAUUUAGAUAUCUACUAUAAAACAUUAAACUAUGCAAAAAUAUGAAUUUCCAGAGUCCUGUUAUUGACAAACAUAAAUUAGAAGUUAAAUACACUAUACCUAAAAUGACAUGAGAAUUGACCACUUACAAUAUCUCCAGACCAUUUGAUUGAUUUCAGAGUCUUCAAUUCUAGAACAGAUCUAUGAGAUAAUAGAGUAAAGGAACCAAUCAAAAUUAUAGAACAGAAACUAAGUUAAAUUAGAAUAAUAGUAUUUGGUAAUAGCCAAGUAACAUUUCCUAAUUGAAAAACCAAAUUAGCUAUAAGUUAAUUUUAACAUACACAUUAUUUUUAAUAAGCUAGCUUUUCAACUAUCAGUCAGCUUAUCAGCUAGCUUAUAACUUAUUUUUACCAAACUGAGCCUCAGAAGGAUACACUUCAAUAGCAGUAACUAGGAAUCCAUAAACACCAAGCAUGGUAACUGCUUCAACACGAUCUUUUUUCUUAACACAAAAUUCCUGCAUUUUAUAAGAUGGAAAAAAGUUAAAUUGCAUAUUAUUUUGCAACAUAAAUGGAUACGUAAAAUUUGUACUACCUCAACAACAUUGCUUACUGCAAAGAAAACUGUCCCUACAAUAACAAGUACAUCACCCAAGAUAGGUUUUGAUCCACCUGAAAAUUGUAAUUAGGACCAAAAUCCUUGCCAAUUAAUUGAUUAAAAUUUUGAACCUAAACAGGUUGAAUAAAUGAAUGUCACCUCCACCACCACCACCACCACCAUCCCAAGUGUCAGAAAAUAGGACUAAAGAGAGGCCAAGUACACAGAGUGUUCCUCCACAUAACUGCCAUAGGGAAUAUCUUGUACCAAGGAAGAUCCAUGUGAGUAGAAUUGCCCAAGGUACUGUCCAACAGUCCAGUAAUGUUACACUAGUAACUGAAGUAUACUGAUAUGCUUUGAUAACUGCAUACAAAGCCAGAGGCAGCAUAAUGCU
rnacentral:lncRNA from 1 species